GCAGCUACUGGCAUAUCCUGUCCAACCCCAUCCCCCAAUAUGACUGCAUUACAAACAAGGGUAGAAAGGCAGCUACAAAAUUUAAGGACUGCACUGAAGAUGAGCAGGAAAAAAAAAUUCCCAUCACCAAACAAACAAAGAAAGGACACACACUAUCAGGCACACGGGGAAGGUGGAAGUGACCAGGCAGACAAAAAGUGAUCAUGUUGGCUGAGGUCGCUCCUGCUGCUGCCAAUGAGGGGGGUGUGACAGUGAUCCGGCAGCAUGUGCCCUGCUUGAGCAGCUAGGCAAUGGUGUGGCAGACGGUCUGCACUCAUUUGCAGGAAAUGGAGGAAGGAAGAACUAGAAAAGGAACAGCUGGAUCCAGAGCUCACUGGAGAAGGCUCUCAGUCUGCAAUAGCCUGGACAUGUAUAGCAAAUGGAGCAAGACAAAUAUUCAGCCUACUCGGAUGUGAAGGGAUGGGAUGGCUAAACAAUUAGCUGGUGCCAAAUCCCACUUAUAGAUUAAUGAAAUGGAAAAUAAAAGAGAUAGAGCAGUUUGGUUCCUGAGCAGUCGACAAUUCCUGAUUUACACACCUCUGGGACACUGCAUCUCCACCCCUCAGUCCUGCUUUUCAAGGCUUCACAGACAUCUGCUGUUCUGACCUUCUCUGAUGGUAAAAACAUUUUACAAGAGUCCAUAUUUGUCUAUACUUUAAAGCAAUGAAGAAGAGUUUGAUUCACAGCACUCUAUGCAUCACCAGUAGCAGGCAGAAAUUAAUCAUUAAAAUAAUGGUUUUUUCAGUGUACAGGGCAGCAUUUAUCAGAGUUAGAUGCCUAGGUAAACCUUUACCUUGGCAUCUGAAAGGGGUAACCUGACUUUCAGACAUGCUUAGCACCACUGAUGAGAAUUACAGAUAGUAGCUUGUGCAUGAGAACCUAACGUCUAUUUUGUUGUCACUGUACUAUAUAUAAGAGUGUGUAAAGGUAAAGCAGCUUAGAGUCUCCAGAUGAAGGUUUAAGAGUAAGUUUACAGUACUUCAUCCAAAUAAGACAUCUAAGACAGAAAGCAAGAUGGGGAGAGAAUAAGAAUGUGAUGAGCGCAGAGAUGCCUUUUUGGACUACUGCUUUACUGUUACCUUUCCUUGGGGACAGAAAAAAAAACAAAUAACAGAAAAUAUAUGCUCUUCUUUUAUUCUUUCAAUCUGUCACCCACCCAAAUAUGGCAGAAGUCGUCAAGUCUUGAAACCAGGAGUCCAGAGAAGAGAUGGACAAAUGUUCAUGUUGCUUUCCAAGCUGCAUUAGCAAGGAUUAAAUGCCAGCAAGAUUGGAAGAAAUAGCAAAUUCCCACUUAAGCUUUCUCCCUCAGUUGAAGAGCAAAGAAAUCUGCAUCCGGGUCAGCUCAUUUCAUAAUUGCUUCCCUCAGAGGGCUUUAGCUACCACCUUUAAUGCAUCUGGUGUUUGUCACUGCUGGAGAGGGUAAUGCUUGUUCAGAGCAUCAAUCCCCUUAAAUCAGCCCAGCUGUACAUACAUUUCUCAUGAGCGACAUACACACUGUUUUCCAGUUUGAUUGCACUCUGAGCAGAGCAGCAGCACGUUCCUGCCCAUUCAUUCACCUUUCUUGCAGCACUUGCUGACAGCAAAAGUUUGAUCAAGCCUACCUCUCUGGACCAUGGUUCUUGGUCAGAAGCUGGGGAGGCUGCAUGUGCCUCGCAGAUUAAUUUUGUGUUAACAUUUGUGAGGCUACAUUAGCUUGGACAUGGCAGUCCUCACCCAUUAGACUUCCUGCCAAGACCACAAACCAGUUUCUGCUAAACUCAUAUAAGACAUUGGCAUAGGUCGACAGAGGUCCUACCUCCCUGGGCUUUCAUCCCUUGCUGAGAGAGUUCAGACUGGUUUAUCAAGUGCCAACAGCGUUCAUGCUUAUUCCAGGACAGCAUGGGAAGUGAAGCUGCUGAAUCCAUAUCUCAGCACUGAGCUGUACAGCAUUAGGAUGCUAAGAUGUCAGGAUCUGACUCCUCCAAUGGGAGCUGUCACGGACAUUUAAGUCAGCCCAGUGUGAAGCUGCCUCUUCUCUGCUUUGCUGUCUGAACAUGCAAACAGGAGCAGAGAGUGAGCACCUGCAAGGAGAAACCAUUGCCAGAAUCCACUCCUGAAAGGUGACUUUAGGCAAGACUCCUGAGAUGCUGUCUUUCCUGAAGCACAGUCUCCCUCUCUAGAUGAAUUUUAUUUUGAUUCAAGUCAUGAGCUCCCUUCAAACUGAGCUCCCAAAAAUCACAGUUGGUUUUCAGAUAGCCACGGUGAGUCACCCAAGCCUGAAGAAAAUGCUUCUUCUUUCUUUAUGGAAGGAAAGCACUGGAGCAUCCUCUUUUGAAUUCAGCAGAGGUUUUGACUGGUGCCUUUUUUGGGAACUAUUUUCUUCUUGCUGUUUUUUUGUGGGUUUUGUUUUGUUUUCAGUACCUACAUGCCAUGUUAAAGUCUUGUUCUCCCAUCACCAUUUGCAGCUGUGCCAACAGGAGAGCUGAGUUUUACUUCUGUGACUCUCACAGGAGGAAGACAACAUUGUCCAUGGCUGCUGGCACAAGGAACAGGUCAGUCUGAGCACAAACAGCUUGCUUAAACGCAUACCUCCUGAAACUUUCACACUUAAGGUCAUCUGUUUUCUUUGAAAAUAUCUAAGAAAGAGGAAGAGUUCAAAGAAGCAGACCAUCAACUGUCAAACAUCAGUCCAGAGUUUCUUCGACCCCCUGAGAGGACAGAUGCUGGUAGAUUGAUUGACUCCUCAUAGGAGACCUGGGAAAAUGAUGCUUUGGAGAAAAGUAAAAUGGGAUGGAUGCCCAAUCUUGAGUCUUCAUGGAACAAAAGUCUGCAGAAAUGUUGGACCACAGGAAACGAGUUAUGCUAAAGAAAAACACCAGCAAGAAGGGGUCUAGGGACCUUUCAUGAUGGGCUGUGGGCUGAGACAGAGGUCAAAGCAAGCUUUUUUAAUAAAACCAAGGUAUUCUAACUCCAGAAAAAAAAAAAUCACAUUAUUCCAACUCUUCUAGGCUCAUUGGAAAACCUGGAGGGGAAAAAAAGGCAGGGGCGCUGGACCAAAGUUUUGUUUUCUUCUAGACUUACAACCUUCUCCAGCAUGUUCCCAGCAGAGCAAAAGGACACGUGUCAAGCCACAACACCAGGGUCAAGGCUUCAAGGACUUUGUCUUUGCUUACACAGAUGGACAAGCCCCCCAGCAUCCUGGGCACAACAAGUGGCCAGCCCUUGCUUUUAAGCACUGCUAUCAUUCCUAUGUGGGUGUAAGCUUAGCAAGCCUCACUGCUUUUGACAGGUCAUACUAAUUGUUCUGAAGAAACUAUUUCUGCUGAGCUUUUAUAAGAUGAUGAAGAUGGAUUUAAAAUAAACUUUCUAGCUGUUUUGAGUGCACCAACAGCACUGAGAGAGCAGACAGUGAUGCUGCUGCUCGUAAGACAACUAGUAAGGUUUGCACUUUUUACUUCCCUGUGACCUCAUACGCCACGUUUACGUUUUUCCUCACACACAACCUCACAUGCUAAUAAAGGCUCACAGUUCUUAAAUUAAAGCAUUAGUAAAACAGAUUAAGACUGAAUGGGAUUUUUGUACAGCUAAAUCUCAGCUGAGGCUGUCAAAACUUAGAGCUAGCAAAGGUCUUAGAGGAGAAGAAAUCUCAAUUUGUUUUUUUAAACUAAUUCCUAACUAUCAGGAGUAGCAGUGAUAUGUGUAGAGAGCCAGAAAGUGUGGAAGGAAAGAAAGGGCUUGUGAGAGAAUGCUGGCAAUAGCAGUUGUCCAGCAGAAAGUCAUGGAUUAUAGAAAGGGAUAACUAAAUCAGCUAGAACUUUUCAGGUGAAGGAAAGAGACAGACUCAAGACCCUUGGUGAAGUCAUAAGGAGUCUGAAAAAGGUAAAGAGCAAGUGGUGAUCCACCACACCUUUUAAUACAACAGUCAGAGAACACCAAAUGAAGUUUAGGAGUCAGCAUCACACAAAACAGGAGAUAGCUCCUCACAAAAUUUGUAGUCAAAAUCUCAGACCCUAUUGAAAAGCAAUGAAACCAAAGUCCUGUUGGGGGCUGAAAAGGUGAAUGAGCUCAGGGGUUACAAGCCACAACAUAUGUAAAAAUUACAUCCUUCUCGUUAAGCUCUAAGCUGAAUUCCCCAGGCAUCCGCUGACAUCCAUAACUACAUACAUGCUUCUAGGCUAUACUGACCUUAGGUCCAAACAAACGCUGCCAGCCAGCAAGCUGAUUGACCUCAAACUCCCUAUCAGCCAGCCAGCUCCACUCCUCAGAUGUCACUGCAAUGUGCCCCACACUUUUACCCCAGAGAUUCAUCAAAGGCACUGGUGGCUUCCCAUGCUGCUCCCAGCACUUUGAGAUUCCCAGGAGCACUGUCCUGGGAAUUAAUCAGGCGGAAGAGAGAAAAACUGGAAGGGCAAAAGCACUAUUGGAGCUGCCCUUUCUGCUUGGAAGCAGCCUUCAAAAGUUCAGUGUCUGACAAGUGGUUCAAUUCACAAACAAAACAGAAGAGUUCCUGCUUUAAAAAAAAUACAGGGGAACCAUGACAAAAAAAGGGAUGCCUUAGCAGCAGUAUCACAGAGUUAAAGGUAAAAUUUGCUUUCAGUACAGUUCCCUUAAAGAAAUGUUUGCAUUUUCGUUUGGUUGAAGUCGUUAGGAAGCAGUCAGCUAUUGUACUGAAUUAAAUGCUUUUUAUUAUGCAAGGGCUGACACUGUCUGAGCCGUAACUGUGUAAAUGUGAACAGCAUAUUAAUUCAAACUCCAUAUGAUUGCACUUUACCACUAAAGGUCACUCAGCACUUUGUAUCUGCCAAGUCAGUGAUUUCUCAUGUGUGUUGUAUGGACCUCCAGAUGUCUAUGUGGUAUUUCUAUAUGGAAGAAGUGAACCAAGUCCUAUGAAAGGCAGGCUUCAGCUCACUGAGUGAACCACCAUGUUCUUAGAUAUAAAACGUAAGGCUAUUAAAAAAAAUCCUAAACUUUUAAUAAAGCCACAGUGAAAGUA